AGCGAUGGGUGGUUAUGCUGAUUGAAUCUCGGCAUGUUCAUAUUUGUAGCUGUGUAAUAUACGCGUGUAUGGUCAUGUGCCGUCAUAGCGCGCGGAUGUUUCCGCUGAAUGUGUUUCACUUCGUGUGCAAAAGUCUGCACGCUGCAGCAUCGAAGAAGUUGUCUUGUCCUCGGGUGCACGUACGCGCUUGGACUCGCGAUAGCCUGCUCUCAACGGAUGCUCAACCGUCUACGGGCGCUCGUAACUUGAUCAUUAGAUGUGGGAAGCCCUCAUUCCGCCCUCACAGGACAUGAAGAGCACUGACGACAGACUGAACCAUGUCCGCUCACUGGCGAAGGAAGUUGGCCUGGAAUUGAGGAGCUGCGAGAUGGCUCACGUCUAUCUCCCCUUGCAAGAAUGGUCCGAAAUGCUGGCUGCAUUGAUACCAGGAAAUUACACCCUGACUUCUGAGGAAAGGCACGCCUUGUUCCAAGACACUAACGAAGAAUUCCAUAAGUGGCUACGAGGUCGGAAAAAUCCGCUCUUGGCUGACAACUAUGUAAUCCACGGGAUAAAGUCGAUGAAACAGCACACAUAAAUAUGGUACGCUAGUUGUGACAGCGUUUCAUUUCAAGGCAAUAUUACUCAAGCGCCCUUUUUAGUCAGCAUUCAACUUCUCAAUUGCAAAACCUGAUGACGCUCUCAAAUGUCCUUCAGUGUACUUAAAGAAUAAAGCUUUUCA